rnacentral:rRNA from 1 species
CCUACGGGCGGCAGCAGUGGGGAAUAUUGGACAAUGGGGGCAACCCUGAUCCAGCCAUGCCGCGUGUGUGAAGAAGGCCCUCGGGUUGUAAAGCACUUUCAGUGAGGAAGAACGCCUGGUGGUUAAUACCCAUCAGGAAAGACAUCACUCACAGAAGAAGCACCGGCUAACUCCGUGCCAGCAGCCGCGGUAAUACGGAGGGUGCGAGCGUUAAUCGGAAUUACUGGGCGUAAAGCGCGCGUAGGUGGCUUGAUAAGCCGGUUGUGAAAGCCCCGGGCUCAACCUGGGAACGGCAUCCGGAACUGUCAAGCUAGAGUGCAGGAGAGGAAGGUAGAAUUCCCGGUGUAGCAGUGAAAUGCGUAGAGAUCGGGAGGAAUACCAGUGGCGAAGGCGGCCUUCUGGACUGACACUGACACUGGGGUGCGAAAGCGUGGGUAGCAAACAGGAUUAGAUACCCCAGUAGUC